AUGAAGAACGUAGCGAAAUGCGAUAAGUAAUGUGAAUUGCAGAAUUCAGUGAAUCAUCGAAUCUUUGAACGCACAUUGCGCCCGCCAGUAUUCUGGCGGGCAUGCCUGUCCGAGCGUCAUUUCAACCCUCGAACCCCUCCGGGGGGUCGGCGUUGGGGAUCGGCCCUGCCUCUUGGCGGUGGCCGUCUCCGAAAUACAGUGGCGGUCUCGCCGCAGCCUCUCCUGCGCAGUAGUUUGCACACUCGCAUCGGGAGCGCGGCGCGUCCACAGCCGUUAAACACCCAACUUCUGAAAUGUUGACCUCGGAUCAGGUAGGAAUACCCGCUGAACUUAAGCAUAUCAAUAAGCGGAGGA
rnacentral:misc_RNA from 1 species